rnacentral:rRNA from 1 species
GACCCCAGGUACAGGCGGGGCUACCCGUUGAGUUUAAGCUUAUCAUAUCAAUAAGCGGAGGAAAG